ensembl:lncRNA MITA1 metabolism induced tumor activator 1
GACCAGAGGAAUUCGCGAAUUUCCGAAUCACCGCAGGAAAAACCAGCUGGCCUGAAUCAAAGCAAUUCUGGGUAAAAGACUUCCCAGAUGAUCUCUCAACGCCUUGGCAACGCUUGGCGACUGGGAGCUAGAACCAUGAGUUGUUAAUGUGUGCACGGAAGCCACAAGUGUGCAGGACGCAAGCUGGGUUAUUGGAAGCGGACGACACCAAGGAGGCGUUGCCGCGGAUGUGGUGGACGAUGCCAAGUCGUCUUUUAAAAAAGGAAGUGAAGAAUGAUUAAGAGGGUCACGCCCUCUACCACUCCAACCUCUCUAAUCAGUCUCUUUCUGCUCCGUCUGCUGUACAUGCACCUGCUCAGGUGAGACCUCAAGGAAAAAUAAUCCUGUGGGUCCACCUAAUCUGACAACCACAGUUGCUAACAGUAUGAGUUCUGCAGUUAUACAGAACUAAGUCCAUUAGCUGUGUGACCCAUGGCCAAAUAUUUUCCUUCUCUGUGCCUGCAUUUCUUCAUCUGCAAACUGGAAUAAUGAUAGCAACUACUUCAGAGGACUAUGCUAGAGUGCAAUGGCGCAAUCUUGGCUCACUGCAACCUCCACUUCCCAGGUUCAAGUGAUUCUCCUGCCUCAGUCUCCUGAGUAGCUGAUAUUACAGGUGCCUGCCACUACACCCAGGUGGAGUCUCGCUCUGUUGCCCAGGCUGGAGUGCAGUGGUGCCAUCUCGGCUCACUGCAAUCUCCACCUCCCAGGGUUCACACCAUUCUCCUGUCUCAGCCUCCCGAGAAGCCGGGACUACAAGCACCUGCCACCACACCCGGUUAAUUUUUUGUAUUUUUAGUAGAGACAGGGUUUCACCAUGUUAGCCAGGAUGGCCUCGAUCUCCUGACCUCAUGAUCUGCCCACCUCAGCCUCCCAAAGUGUUGGGAUUACAGGCAUGAGCCACCGCGCCAGGUGGUUUUAUAAGGGAAUUUUCCCCCACUUUGCUCUGCACUUAUCCUUGCUGCUGCCAUGUGAAAAAGGAUGUGUUUGCUUCCCCUUCUGCCAUGAUUGUAAGUUUCCUGAGCCCUGUGUCCCAGCUGCUCCAGCGGUGACUAAAAGAGGCCAAGGUAUAGCUCAGGUCGUUGCUUCAGAGGGUGCAAGACCCAACUCUUGGGUUGGGUCUUGGCGUUGGUGUUGGUCCUGCAGAGGCACAUAAGACAAGAAUUGAGGUUUGGGAACUUUCGCUUAGAUUUCAGAGGAUGCAUGGAAAUGCCUGGAUGUCCAGGGAGAAGUUUGGUGCAGGGGUGGAGUCCUCCUGGAGAACCCCUGCUAGGUCAGUGCAGAAGGGAAAUGUGAGGUGGGAGCCACCACACAGAGUCCCCACUUGGGCACUGCCUAGUGUGGCUGUAAGAAAAGGGUCACCAUUCUCCAGAACCCAGAAUGGUAGAUCCACAGACAGCUUGCACCAUGCACCUGGAAAAGCCACAGACACUCAAUGCCAGCCAUGAAAAAACCCAAGAGUGGGGCUGUACCCUGCAAAGCCACAGGGGCAGAGCUGCCCAAGAUUGUGGGAGCCCAUCUCUUGCAUCAGUCUAACCUGGAUGUGAGACAGGGAGUCAAAGGAGAUCAUUUUGGAACUUUGCAGUUUAAUGACUGCCCCGUUGAAUUUCAGACUGGCAUAGGUCCUGAACCCCCUUUGUUUUGGUCAGUUUCUCCCAUUUGGAAUGGGUGUAUUUUCUCAAUGCCUGUCCCCAUUAUAUAGCUAAAUUGCUUUUGAUUUUACAGGCUCCUAGGGACCUGAGAAAAGGCACUUGUCUUGUCUCAGAUGUGACUUUGGACUUGGACUUUUGAGUUCAUGCUAGAAUGAGUUAAUACCUGGGAGGACUGUUGGAGGGACAUGAUUGUGUUUUGAAUUUUGAGGACAUGAGUUUUGUGAGGGGCUAGGGUGGAAUGAUAUGGUUUGGCUAUGUUGCCAGCCAAAUCUCAUCUUGAACUGUAGUUCCCAUAAUCCUCAGGUGUUAUAGGAGGAACCUGGUGGGAGGUAAGUGGAUCAUGGGGGCGGUUACCUCCAUGCUGUUCUCAUAAUAGUGGGUGAGUUCUCAUGAGAUAUGAUGGAUUUUUAAGGUGCUUUUCUCCAACUUCGCUCUGCACUUUUCCUUGCUGUCGCAAUGUAAGGAAGGAUGUGUUUGCUUCCCCUUCUGCCAUGAUUGCAAGUUUCCUGAGGUCUCCCCAGUCAUGCUAAACUGUCCAAUCAGCAUAAUGUCAUCAAUGCAAUGGAACGGACUGAUUUUCUGCAGAAAGGGAAAUCAAUCAAGGUCCCAGUGGACUAAAUGAUGAUAUAAGGCUGAAGAAUGGACGCAUCCUAUGAAGUCUCGCUCUGUCACCCAGGCUGUAGUGUAGUGGGGUGACCUUGGCUUACUGCAACCUCCACCUCCUAGGUUCCAGCGAUUCUCCCACCUCAGCCUCCUGAGUACCUGAGAUUAUAGGCACCUGCCACCAUGCCCAGCUAAUUUUUGUAUUUUUAGUAGAGACUGUGUUUCACCAUAUUGGCCAGGCUGGUCUUGAACUCCUGACCUCAAGCGAUCUGCCCACCUUGGCCUCCCAAAGUGCUGGGAUUACAGGCAUGAGCCACAGUGCCUGGCCUACGUAUUUCUUUUUAAAGACUGACUUUUCAUUUAGAUUAAAUGAUUGCUCUUCUAAAGUAAUUUACUCUUUGUUGGUUUUAAGAAAUCUUUUGCAUGUAUAAGGUAUAAAACAACAACUGUUUAUAUGUUACUUCCAUUAGCCGAUGAACUAGCGGUUAAAUGAUGCUUCAAAUAGAAAAUAAGUUAAUUCCACUAAUAGAUUGUGUUUUCAUUAAAGUCAUAAACAUGAAAUAACACUUUACAAAGUUCAUUUUGUUGAGUAUCUUGCAUUACUGUGAAUUAUAUUGUAAAGUAGUUUAA